rnacentral:rRNA from 1 species
CCCUUAGAUGUUCUGGGCCGCGCGCGCGCUACACUGAUGCAUUCAACGAGUCUAAAACCUGCUCUGAUAGGGGUGGGUAAUCUUUUGAAUGUGCAUCGUGAUUGGGAUAGAUGAUUGCAAUUUUUCAUCUUCAACGAGGAAUGCCUAGUAAACGCAAGUCAUCAGCUUGCAUUGAUUACGUCCCUGCCCUUUGUACACACCGCCCGUCGCUCCUACCGAUUGAAUGAUCCGAUGAAUAUCAUGGAUUGAGGAUGCAAGUAGGUUCGCCUAUCUUCAUCUUCGAGAAGUGAAGUAAAUCUUAUCAUUUAGAGGAAGGAGGAGUCGUAACA